GACGUAGGUGGCGAGCGUUGUUCGGAAUCACUGGGCAUAAAGCGCACGUAAGCGGCCAAGUCAGUCAGGUGUGAAAUACCUCGGCUCAACCGAGGAACUGCGCCUGAUACUGCUUGGCUUGAGGUCCGGAGAAAAGAGUGGAACUCCUGGUGUAGCGGUGAAAUGCGCAGAUAUCAGGAAGAACACCCGUGGCGAAGGCGGCUCUCUGGUACGUGACUGACGCUGAGACGCGAAAGCGUGGGGAGCAAACAGG
rnacentral:rRNA from 1 species